UUCCCUUCUCCUUUUCGCCUCCCUGUAUCUCAUCUCACGCCCAAAACGCUCGCGCUCUCCCUCUCAGUCCACUCCCUCUUUCGCGCAGCCUCCCAGCCGCCGACCCACCGCCGCCGCGGUCUCGCCCGCGGGCUGCCGUCCACCGCCCACGGCGCCGCGCUCGACUUCCGUCUCUACCGCUCUCUCUCUCUCUCUCUUCAUCCGGGCGCUGACCCGCUUUUGCCUUCUGCGUCUCUUCCGCGUCCACACCGUCGGUUUGCUCGCGCCCGAGGUUCUGAUAUAGUUGUGUGAAUGCCGAAAAAGAGUUCUGUAAAAGCCCCUGAUCAGGGGCCAGAAAUGCCAGUUGUGAAGGAGGAGAAAGCUUCUCCAGCAACGAAGAAAUCUAAUGAUGAGAUCGACGACAUUUUUGCAUCAAAAAAGAGGAAGAAAAGUGAAAAAGGGGAUGCCGAGAAGCCAGCUGAAAAUGGCAGUGGGAAAACAAAGAAGAUGAAGAAAAAGAAAAAGGAUAAAGGGUUAACAGAGAGUGCAUCAGGCAACCCACCUUCUCGUCCUAGAAAGAAAACAGCAGAUGGGCUCACCAUCUACACAGAGGAUGAGUUGGGUAUCAACAAGGGAGACGCUGGUGAUACGCCACUCUGUCCAUUUGACUGUUCUUGCUGCUUUUGAGUAUAGCCCUUGCGUAUUGGAGAUCAUCCAGUCAUUCUUGUUGUAACUUAUUCGCAAUUUUGGCUAUUCACCUCAAGGUUCUUUGUGUUCUUGGUGCCUGUUUUUCCUAACUGCAUGGCCUUAAUCUUAUUCUUACAGUUUUGGCAGUUUUCUUGGAUAACCUAAAUAUUGCAGGAUCAUAAUAAGAUUUUGUAGCUGAGAGUUCUUGGGGUGGGUAGGAAAGAUGGUAGUAUAUUUGAGAAGUUGAUAAUUUGUAUUGGUCACUUAAGAUCUCAGACUUGUAAGUAUAGCGACAGGCAUCCUCUUUUUGGCUCAUUUAUUGGACACACAGCUACAAGAUGAGACGUCAGUAUUUACAAGGAAUAUGAGAAUAUGGAAUUCACGAGCUUUUUGUGCUGUGGAUAUAAGUUGGAAUGCGAAUUUGUGUCA